rnacentral:lncRNA from 1 species
AUCUUUCUCUUACUUGUUUUCUUCUUUUUCUCUUUUAAAUUUUCUUUCUUCUUUUUUGUAUCUAUCUUUUUCUCACUUCUUGUUCCCUUUUUUUUUCUUUCUGUCUCUUCUAAAUUUUGUUCUCUAAUCUUCACAAAUUAUUUUAAAUUUGUAUCCAUUUAUUAUCAAUCAUAUAUUUUCUGUUAUUUCUUACCAUAUAUUUCUAAA